GGAGGAGGAGGUAGUGGAGACAGAGGGAGGAGGAGGUAGUAGAGACAGAGGGAGGAGGAGGUGGUGGAGACAGAGGGAGGAGGAGGUGGUGGAGACAGAGGGAGGAGGAGGUGGUGGAGACAGAGGGAGGAGGAGGUAGUGGAGACAGAGGGAGUAGGAAGUGGAGACAGAGGGAGGAGGGAGUGGAGACAGAAGAGGAGGGAGUGGAGACAGAGGGAGGAGGAGGUAGUGGAGACAGUGGGAGGAGGUAGUGGAGACAGAGGCAGGUGCGAGUGGAGACAGAGGGAGGAGGAGGUAGUGGAGACAGUGGGAGGAGGAGG
ensembl:lncRNA